ACCCCUACGGGGGGCAGCAGUGGGGAAUAUUGCACAAUGGGCGCAAGCCUGAUGCAGCCACGCCGCGUGUAUGAAGAAGGCCUUCGGGUUGUAAAGUACUUUCAGCAGUGAGGGAGGCGGGUACGUUAAUAGCGUGCUCGUUUGACGUUAGCUGCAGAAGAAGCACCGGCUAACUCCGUGCCAGCAGCCGCGGUAA
rnacentral:rRNA from 1 species